UACAGAGGUGGCAAGCGUUGUUCGGAAUUACUGGGCGUAAAGCGCGCGCAGGCGGUCCUUUAAGUCUGAUGUGAAAGCCCACGGCUCAACCGUGGAGGGUCAUUGGAAACUGGGGGACUUGAGUACAGAAGAGAAGAGUGGAAUUCCACGUGUAGCGGUGAAAUGCGUAGAGAUGUGGAGGAACACCAGUGGCGAAGGCGACUCUUUAGUCUGUAACUGACGCUGAGGCGCGAAAGCGUGGGGAGCAAACAGG
rnacentral:rRNA from 1 species